rnacentral:rRNA from 1 species
GACGAACGCUGGUGGCGUGCUUAACACAUGCAAGUCGAACGGAAAGGCCCUGCUUUUGUGGGGUGCUCGAGUGGCGAACGGGUGAGUAACACGUGAGUAACCUGCCCUUGACUUUGGGAUAACUUCAGGAAACUGGGGCUAAUACCGGAUAGGAGCUCCUGCUGCAUGGUGGGGGUUGGAAAGUUUCGGCGGUUGGGGAUGGACUCGCGGCUUAUCAGCUUGUUGGUGGGGUAGUGGCUUACCAAGGCUUUGACGGGUAGCCGGCCUGAGAGGGUGACCGGCCACAUUGGGACUGAGAUACGGCUCAGACUCCUACGGGAGGCAGCAGUGGGGAAUAUUGCACAAUGGGCGGAAGCCUGAUGCAGCAACGCCGCGUGCGGGAUGACGGCCUUCGGGUUGUAAACCGCUUUCGCCUGUGACGAAGCGUGAGUGACGGUAAUGGGUAAAGAAGCACCGGCUAACUACGUG